ensembl:lncRNA
UUCUGAUCAUUGAAGCUUCUUUUUAUUUACAUUUUCUUUUUUUGCACAAAAAUUAAACAUCAGUUUGUGGAAUCUUACAGUACAUCAUAAAAAAAAACCCCAUUCACAUUGGUUUUGAGCUCUUUAUUGUCCUUGAAUUUGUCUAAAUGUACAAAAAGCAUGCAAAAAAUAUCCUCUUUAUAUAUUUUCGUACAUAUGUACAUGGUAACAAGUUGCAUUCAAUAUUUUUAUUUUUUUUGUGCCAUGCUUUUUUUUUUGGUAAUAAUUAUAAUAAGUACAUUCAGAUAAUGCACAGGAAUAUAGACAUCCAUGUAACAACUGACAACGACCCUCACUCAAGCAAAGAUAAAUUAGACAAUUAUUGUAUAUAUGAGAAACUGUAGUUCAUUUAGAGAUAAAUCAACCUGAAACUUCAUCCUACACACACUGAAGGAGAGAAAGAUAUCUACAACCAUAAAUGCUUUGGAUUCAAAAGACCUGCACUGCAUUCCAAUACUGCUUUCAACACACCCUUGUCUACAUAGGCCUAGAUCACGAGUAGAUAUUUAUACACACACACAUUAUAUAUAUAUAUAUAUAUAUAUAUAUAUAUAUAUAUAUAUAUAUAUAUAUAUAUAUAUAUAUAUAUAUAUAUAUAUAUAAACAUAGCCCUUGUUAGAAAGCACAUCCAAGGUGAAGCAGUUUACUGAUUAAUUGUACUUUUUCUUAUCUAGAGAAUUCAGCUUGCUCAUUAGCUAGCUUAACUGGUGGUGUGUUAAUUAGCCAGCAUGCCAGCUGGGACCUGGCCAGUGAAUCAAUCCCUCCAAAUGGUUAUCUAAUAUUUUUCACUUCACCUCUAGUCCAUCAUUUGACCUCCAGUUUUAUUGCCUUUUUCUGUCAUCGUCAUCUUUUUUUUCUUUCAGAUUAAAUUGAUCUGCAUUCUCUAAAACACUCUUUACAUACCUGUGCUUAUAAUAUAAAAAAAUACUUAAUAUAUUCUUCUGCUUCUUAUUCUUCUUCUUAUUAUAAUUAGAGAAGUGGAAUAACUCUAAGGAGGCCAAUGGGGAUUACAAUUCCACACAAUGGUCACUUCUAUACACAAAGAUAAGGGGAAGUCAAUAAGAAUGUGUCAAGACCAGUAUUGGAACGCAGCCUUAGUCUAGCAAACAUAAAAAGUGACCAGGUGCUACUACAUUUUAUUUUUAAAAAACAAAACAAAAAAAACACACACACAUUGCCAUUUCCUCAAAUUAAACAAUGUAAAGCAUCCCAAAGUAGGUUUUUAAUAAUGUAGUGUUUCCCAGUGCAAGUUAUGGAGAGUCCAUGCACUGCACACAUUUUUUCUCCACUGAACUCUGUGUGUGUUUUCGUGUUUGUGUGUGUGUGUGUGUGUGUGUGUGUGAGAGAGAGAGCAAGAUAAGUAACUGAGACACUGCACAAUUGCAACCUAUGACCUGAACCAGAACAGAGACAACAUGGCAGAUAUCACUGUUAAUUUUUUCCCACUAUAAAGCAUCUAUACGAGUAUAAUAAACAUCAGAGCAGGACACACACACACACACGAUAGCUUUUCAUAUGUGUACAAUAGAAUGUGUUAAAGGGGUUGUAUUAUUAUCCUUGAGUUGUACCACGUUUAAAAAGAUACUUGAGUCAUAUCACGGUUAUUAAGAUACUGCACCUGAUAGAGCUUUUGUAACGAGUUCAGAUGUUAUACUGAGGUCAUGGACAUGCCAUUACACAACAUACAAACAACAUACAAGUGCAUAGUAAAUCAUCUGUCCAUGCCAGUGAAACUGAGAGACAUGAGAGAGAGUGUAAGAGACGGGAUAAAGGGAAACGACAAGAAAACACCAUCUGUUAGGGAACAUGAGAGUCAAUACGUCAUCCAGAGAGCCAAGGUAACGUGGAAACUCGUACCUCUCCAUCAAACAUCCAGUGGGCAGAAUACAAAAGGUUUUACUGUUAAGAAUUCAAGCAGCUGUACAUAAAACAGCAAUGGUGGCCAUUCUUAUAAGCAAAGAAGGAAAAAUCAAGAUGUAAUUAUGGAUAAUGUGCAGGUUUUCUUCUACAUCGAACGUCCUGCGGGUGGAGUCCAGAAAGCUCCAGGGGUUGGUGUACUGUUACAAUGAGUAGUUACACUCACGGUUUGGUUAUUAUAUGAUAAUAAGCCUAAUUGAAUGGGCAUUUUAACAUUUUAUUCACUUGGCACAUGAUUUUAUAAUCUAAAGGACCAUAUUGUCUUGGCUAUUUCUUGCCUCGAUUGAUUUACGUGCACAAUAAGCCUUGAUCUUAAAUGUGCUGGAUCAAGUGUUAUUUUAUAAGCUGCCAAAUAACGAGGGCGAUCAAAUUUGUAGUGAUUAAUGUUAUGACUAGGACUAGCAAUGCUGCAAUAUACCGCCGAUAAAUUAGACCAGUAGAUGUUUAUUUCAAUGCUUGCCAUCAUUUCAUUCAUGUAUCUUCAUAUUAAAUACAAAAGCUGUUUCUGUAUUCCGUCUGCAUUUUCUGUCCCUGAUUGUUUUUCUGGCUUAUAGGCUUGUGUUUAAAGGCAAUGGUCUAGAUGCGACUGCAAAGCCCCGUCUGCUAUGCUUCUGCUCAAGAUAAACCUGGCAACCUGAAGGCAAGUCAUUUGCAUAAAAAAAGCGUAGGCCUCACAGAAAAUUUUCAUAAGCAGUUCCGUAACCUGUCUAUGAUUAUGAAUAACUUUGACUUCGCUAUCUGAAUAUUAACAUAACUUUGGACCCAAGUCUCUAAUUCUGAAUAUGGCCCAAAAGUGACAUAGAAAGAGGAUCCAAUCCAAGCACUUGAAGCUUAGAGGAAAACUCCACCCUAAAACGUAUUGAAUAUGUUUAUAUCAAAAUAUACGUGACGUGCUUAGUGCUUAGUUAUUCCAGUGAGAAGGACAAUGCAGGAGACAAAAUGUAAACAAUCUCAAGCAUACGUGAUCAGGUUUUUGAACGGCCAGGUUUUACUGUUAGCUCCCAAAAAACAAAGAAAAAAACGAGUUUAUUUUCUCACUCAGCAUUUUGCAGCUGUGUUCGAUGUCAUAUUAAUGAGAAAUCCAGUGUAGUGGUGACAGAAAAUGUCACCAGAGUUCUGAGUUACGGAAGAAACUCGGCUCAGCUAGUUGGCAAUUUAUGACAUGUCAGGCAUGAUGGAAUUGACGCCAGGAUUAGCAUUAAAGUCGAAGUUUUGGAAGCUGAUCUGUUUGAGCAAAGUGUACAGAUGAGGAGGUAAAAGCACUGGACAGACUAAAGGACUAAAGCGCUGCCGCUCUCUUUAGAUAGAAAUGAGAUUUCACUGGCAUCACCACCAGUGUGCAAUCGAACAUGGGUAAUGUAGGGAUUCAAAGUGAAAAUAGACCAAUCUGUCAGAUAAAAAAAAAGUUGGAUGCAAAUUAA